UACGAAGGGGGCUAGCGUUGUUCGGAUUUACUGGGCGUAAAGCGCACGUAGGCGGUUUGUUAUGUCGGAUGUGAAAGCCCUUGGCUCAACUGAGGAAGUGCAUCCGAAACUGGCAAGCUAGAGUAUGUAAGAGGGUCGCGGAAUUCCCGGUGUAGAGGUGAAAUUCGUAGAUAUCGGGAGGAACACCGGUGGCGAAGGCGGCGACCUGGGACAAUACUGACGCUGAGGUGCGAAAGCGUGGGGAGCAAACAGG
rnacentral:rRNA from 1 species